rnacentral:rRNA from 1 species
GACGAACGCUGGCGGCGUGCUUAACACAUGCAAGUCGAACGGACAGUUCCUGCUUUUGUGCGGUGCUCGAGUGGCGAACGGGUGAGUAACACGUGAGUAACCUGCCCCUGACUUUGGGAUAACUUCAGGCAACUGGGGCUAAUACCGGAUAGGAGCUCCUGCUGCUUGGUGGGGGUUGGAAAGUUUCGCCGGUUGGGGAUGUACUCGCGGCUUAUCAGCUUGUUGGUUGGGUAGUGGCUUACCAAGGCUUUGACGGGUAGCCGGCCUGCGAGGGGAACCUGCUAAAUUGCGACUGGGAUGCGACCCAGACUACAACGGGAGGCAGCGGUGGAGAGUGUAGCACAGUGGGAGGAGGCAUGGUGCAACGACGCCGCGUGGGGGAUGACAUGCAGCGGGUUGUAUACCACAUUCGUUUGUGACGAAGCGUGAGUGACGGUAAUGGGUGAAGAAGCACCGGCUAACUACGUG